GCACAAGCGGAGGAACAUGUGGUUUAAUUCGAUGAUACGCGAGGAACCUUACCUGGGCUUAAAUGUAGAGUGCAUUGGAGGGAAACUUUUCAUUUUCUUCGGAACUCUUUACAAGGUGCUGCAUGGUUGUCGUCAGCUCGUGCCGUGGGGUGUCGGGUUAAGUCCCAUAACGAGCGCAACCCUUAUCGUUAGUUGCCAGCGGGUAAAGCCGGGGACUCUAGCGAAACUGCCGGUGUAAACCGAGAGGAAGGUGGGGGAUGACGUCAAAUCAGCACGGCCCUUAUGUCCAGGGCUACACACGUGUUACAAUGGCCGGUACAGAGGGCAGCUACCUGUUGACAGGAUGCGAAUCUCGAAAGCCGGCCUCAGUUCGGAUCGGAGUCUGCAACCCGACUCCGUGAAGCUGGAUUCGCUAGUAAUCGCGCAUCAGCCAUGGCGCGGUGAAUACGUUCCCGGGCCUU
rnacentral:rRNA from 1 species